rnacentral:rRNA from 1 species
CCUGCUAUGGUAUAACUUAGUGGCAGACGGGUGAGUAAUGUAUAGGAAUCUACCUAGUAGUACGGAAUAAUUGUUGGAAACGGCAACUAAUACCGUAUACGCCCUACGGGGGAAAAAUUUAUUGCUAUUAUAUGAGCCUAUAUUAGAUUAGCUAGUUGGUGGAGUAAUAGCCUACCAAGGCAAUGAUCUAUAGCUGAUCUGAGAGGAUGAUCAGCCACACUGGAACUGAGAUACGGUCCAGACUUCUACGGGAGGCAGCAGUGGGGAAUAUUGGACAAUGGGCGAAAGCCUGAUCCAGCCAUGUCGCAUGAGUGAUGAAGGCUUUUGGGUUGUAAAGCUCUUUUAGUGAGGAAGAUAAUGACGGUACUCACAGAAGAAGU